CCUACGGGUGGCAGCAGUGAGGAAUAUUGGUCAAUGCACGAGAGUCUGAACCAGCCAAGUAGCGUGAAGGAUGACUGCCCUCUGGGUUGUAAACUUCUUUUAUAUGGGAAUAAAAUGUUCCACGUGUGGGAUUUUGUAUGUACCAUAUGAAUAAGGAUCGGCUAACUCCGUGCCAGCAGCCGCGUGAAUACGGAGGAUCCGAGCGUUAUCCGGUUUUGUUGGGUUUAACGGGAGCGUAGGUGGAUUGUUAAGUCAGUUGUGAAAGUUUGCGGCUCAACCGUAAAAUUGCAGUUGAAACUGGCAGUCUUGAGUACAGUAGAGGAGGGCGGAAUUCGUGGUGUAGCGAUGAAAUGCGUAGAUAUCACGAAGAAUUCCGAUUGCGAAGGCAGCUCACUGGACUGCAACUGACACUGAGGCUCGAAAGUGUGGGUAUCAAACAGGAUUAGAUACCCGGGUAGUC
rnacentral:rRNA from 1 species